rnacentral:rRNA from 1 species
UACGUAGGGGGCAAGCGUUGUCCGGAAUCAUUGGGCGUAAAGCGCGUGUAGGCGGCCCGAUAAGUCCGCUGUGAAAGUCAAAGGCUCAACCUUUGAAUGUCAGCGGAUACUGCCGGGCUAGAGUCCGGAAGAGGCGAGUGGAACUCCUGGUGUAGCGGUGGAAUGCGCAGAUAUCAGGAAGAACACCAACGGCGAAGGCAGCUCGCUGGGACGGAACUGACGCUAAGGCGCGAAAAGCGUGGGGAGCGAACAGG